rnacentral:rRNA from 1 species
UACGAAGGGGGCUAGCGUUGCUCGGAAUCACUGGGCGUAAAGCGCACGUAGGCGGAUUGCUAAGUCAGGGGUGAAAUCCUGGAGCUCAACUCCAGAACUGCCUUUGAUACUGGCGAUCUUGAGUCCGGGAGAGGCGAGUGGAACUGCGAGUGUAGAGGUGAAAUUCGUAGAUAUUCGCAAGAACACCAGUGGCGAAGGCGGCUCACUGGCCCGGUACUGACGCUGAGGUGCGAAAGCGUGGGGAGCAAACAGG